UACGGAGGAUCCAAGCGUUAUCCGGAUUUAUUGGGCUUAAAGGGUGCGUAGGCGGCCUAUUAAGUCAGGGGUGAAAGACGGUAGCUUAACUAUCGCAGUGCCUUUGAUACUGAUGGGCUUGAAUGUACUUGAGGUAGGCGGAAUGUGACAAGUAGCGGUGAAAUGCAUAGAUAUGUCACAGAACACCAAUUGCGAAGGCAGCUUGCUAAACAAAUAUUGACGCUGAGGCACGAAAGCGUGGGGAUCAAACAGG
rnacentral:rRNA from 1 species